AAAGGACUCCAAGCCCAUCAAAUCCGGCUGAUCCCCACCUUGUCACCAGCCCAGAGCACUGAGUGCCACACCCAGGCCUUCCUUGGACACCUCCAGAUUCCUCCAGACUCCUGGGCAGCCCCUUCCAAUGUUUAACAUCUCUUUCCUUGAAGAAAUUCUUCCUGAUGUCCAGCCUGACCCUCUCCUGGUACAGCUUGUUUGCUGAGUUUGGGUCAGAGCUUGUGCUUGCAGCCCCAGUUAACCUUUCUGCAAGGAAAAACCCAACCUAAGCAGCAGAAAAUGUCAGGAAAAUUAUGUUAAUUUGCAGAGUGAAUUUUCUUCAGGACCUCAAAGAAGGACUCUGAAGGAGCUGAGACCUGAAUCUCAGACACAGGACCCAUCCAAAGGAGAUCAUCUCAAAGGAAACUGGUGGCUUUUUUGGGUUCUCUGCUGGAGAAACUGUUUGGAGCUGGCCAGCAAAAGCACUUCCAAAAGCUCUCAAAGUCAUUUCCACCCAGAACCUCGAGAUUUCCAAGGAUCCUGUCCAAAACUCUGCAGGAUCAAGCUUUGUACCUGCCCUUCCUGGUGCAAGGAGGCAGCUCUAGCUGGUGAUACCCCUGAGCCACAAACAGCUGGAGCAAAUCCUGGGGAAUAAUCCACAAAAUCUGCUACUGAGCAGUGCUGGGGAUGGACAACCAGGAAAAAACUCCAUUUCACCUGGUGCAGCUGUGCUGGUGCUGCUGAGGCACACAGCACCCAGAAUAAACCACUGCCAGGAGUGCCA
rnacentral:lncRNA from 1 species